CUUAAAGAACCACUUGUUAUUUCGUGUAAUGGGGACAGAAGCCUUCGAGGCACUCUGGAACAUGAAGGUUCUCUGGACCACAAAAAGAUCCAAGGUGCAGUGUACCCAGAAGAUGGUACUGUCUUUAGAUGGUGCUGACAUAUUACAAGGACUCAUUCCAGUCUGAACUGAUGCAGGAUGACUGUCUCAAGAAUGGGAGAGAUGAAGCUCUUCAGGAGGAGUGCAAGAGCAGACAGGACCUGGUGGAUGAGCUCUGUGCUGGCUGAAUACAUCCCGGGAAGAAACCUACUGUGACAAUUUCAAGUGGUAUUCAUUUCAGACUGUUGGUGAGUUGCUCACCAGACAGAGAUUAUGUGGGUUUCUUACAGAGGAGGAAGUGUUUUUGUGAUGCACAACCCACUUGGAGCACAAAUUUCAUCUAUAAAGCCACAGAGCAAGUGUUCAUUCUUUUUUUUCUCUUUCCCUCUUUUGGCAGAAACAGUU